rnacentral:rRNA from 1 species
AUUGAACGCUGGCGGAAUGCUUUACACAUGCAAGUCGAACGGCAGCACGGACUUCGGUCUGGUGGCGAGUGGCGAACGGGUGAGUAAUGUAUCGGAACGUGCCCAGUCGUGGGGGAUAACGUAGUGAAAAUUACGCUAAUACCGCAUACGAUCUAUGGAUGAAAGCGGGGGAUCGCAAGACCUCGCGCGAUUGGAGCGGCCGAUAUCAGAUUAGGUAGUUGGUGGGGUAAAGGCCCACCAAGCCAACGAUCUGUAGCUGGUCUGAGAGGACGACCAGCCACACUGGAACUGAGACACGGUCCAGACUCCUACGGGAGGCAGCAGUGGGGAAUUUUGGACAAUGGGCGCAAGCCUGAUCCAGCCAUUCCGCGUGCAGGAUGAAGGCCCUCGGGUUGUAAACUGCUUUUGUACAGAACGAAAAGGUUUCUACUAAUACUAGGAGCUCAUGACGGUACUGUAAGAAUAAGCACCGGCUAACUACGAGCG